AGUAGUUCAUCAGCAUCUUUCAGCAUACGAUAGAAAUCAUCGCUGCCAGCUUCUGGAUCGUCCUCCAUAUCACGAUCAAAUUCAGGAUCAAGUGCAUCCAUAAUCAUGUUUACCGUUCUAUCUGUGUCUCUAUCCUGCUGACUUCUAACCCUUACAUUUAUCUCCCCCAUCUCUCCAUGCAGGUACCAAUACUUGUAGUUUGACAUAAAUUUACUUCUAUAUAAAUGGACAAUUAUUGUAUCC
rnacentral:lncRNA from 1 species